GUGGAAUUAGUUUGGUUGGGGAGAUUAUUAGCAAAUUUGAGAAGAAGGGAUUUUACUUGAAAGGUAACUUCUUUUUUUUUUGUUACUACUUAACAUAUGUGCUAACAAUUUAGCUUAGAAACUCCAAAAAUUGCUAGUAAUUACA